rnacentral:lncRNA from 1 species
CCUGGGGUUAGGGUCCGCCAAAAUUCCUGACAAACAGCUGGAUUUUGGGGAAACUACCAAUAUAGUCCUUCCGUUUCUAAAUAUAAGUCUUUUUAAAGAUUUUACUAGAGGACUACAUACAAAUAUAUGUAGACGUAUUUUAAAGUAUAGGUUUACUUAUUUUUAUUUCGUGUGUAGACCACUGAGAACAUCCACAGUGUGUAGUUUUAACGCCUCUAUGUCCGCCUCUAAGACCUUGAAGCCUGCCUCUGUGCAACACGUUGCACGCCCAGACGCUAAGCUAAAAAUGCUUGGAGGCGCCUCCAAGGAUAGAGACCGAUGCUAAGGGUUCCUGCCGUACAAAAUAAUCAAGUGACCCCACUUGUCCAGCUCAUAUAUAUAU